rnacentral:lncRNA from 1 species
GGCCCAGCCUCCACCGCCCGCCACCCCAGGGACAGGAACGAAGACCACAGAGCCCGGCCCUCGGCUGCCCCCAGCCCACAGCCCGCGGCGGGUUACAUAACGGGCCGCGAGCCGCCGCACUCUCGCGAGACUUCCACCGCCCCCCCUCCCCUGCUCGCUCCACGUCAGAAGGAACCGGGCGGAGCGGCCAACAUGGCGGAACGCAGGCGACACAAGAAGCGGAUCCAGGUCGGGGGCCGCGGGGGGCUCGGGCGCGCUGGGACAAGGAGGGACAAGGGGAGACAUCCCAAGCGACCCGGUGCCCGGAGGCUGUUGCCGCAGGGUCGCGGCGCCGUGACGGGCCCGUGUCGGGGCGGUGCUAGCGGCCG